rnacentral:tRNA from 1 species
GGGAAGUUCGUAUAGUGGUCAAUUACGGGAGACUGUAAAUCUCUUGCUUCGGCUUCGGUGGUUCGAAUCCAUCACUUCCCA